rnacentral:rRNA from 1 species
GCUUGCUCUUAUGAAGUUAGCGGCGGACGGGUGAGUAACACGUGGGUAACCUGCCCAUAAGACUGGGAUAACUCCGGGAAACCGGGGCUAAUACCGGAUAACAUUUUGAACCGCAUGGUUCGAAAUUGAAAGGCGGCUUCGGCUGUCACUUAUGGAUGGACCCGCGUCGCAUUAGCUAGUUGGUGAGGUAACGGCUCACCAAGGCAACGAUGC